CCUACGGGAGGCAGCAGUGGGGAAUAUUGCACAAUGGGGGAAACCCUGAUGCAGCGACGCCGCGUGAGUGAAGAAGUAAUUCGUUAUGGAAAACUCUAUCAGCAGGGAAGAAAAUGACGGUACCUGAGUAAUAAGCCCCGGCUAACUACGUGACAGUCGCCGCGGUAAUACGUAGGGGGCAAGCGUUAUCCGGAUUUACUGGGUGUAAAGGGAGCGUAGACGGCAGUGCAAGUCUGGAGUGAAAGGCGGGGGCUCAACCCACGGACUGCUCUGGAAACUGGAAGGCUGGAGUGCAGGAGAGGUAAGUGGAAUUCCUGGUGUAGCGGUGAAAUGCGUAGAUAUUAGGAGGAACACCAGUGGCGAAGGCGGCUUACUGGACUGUAACUGACGUUGAGGCUCGAAAGCGUGGGGAGCAAACAGGAUUAGAUACCCCAGUAGUC
rnacentral:rRNA from 1 species